rnacentral:misc_RNA from 1 species
GAUGAAGAACGUAGCAAAAUGCGAUAAGUAAUGUGAAUUGCAGAAUUCAGUGAAUCAUCGAAUCUUUGAACGCACAUUGCGCCCGCCAGUAUUCUGGCGGGCAUGCCUGUUCGAGCGUCAUUUCAACCCUCAAGCUCAGCUUGGUGUUGGGACUCGCGGUAACCCGCGUUCCCCAAAUCGAUUGGCGGUCACGUCGAGCUUCCAUAGCGUAGUAAUCAUACACCUCGUUACUGGUAAUCGUCGCGGCCACGCCGUAAAACCCCAACUUCUGAAUGUUGACCUCGGAUCAGGUAGGAAUACCCGCUGAACUUAAGCAUAUCAAUAGCGGAGGA